AUUCAGGAGUUCAGCAGUUCUGUGAUCACUGGGCAGAGGACAGAUCUGAAACAGUUUUUCUUGGUUACUGAUUUGUUCUCAGAUCACUGCCAGUCUCUCACAGUUUUGAGAAGAUCUUUACUUGUUCUGAUAGACUUUUCCCUGGAGCUAGAUGUAGAUGGAGUAGAUGGCCAAAAGUAAGACAUGGCAGUUGCAGAGUGAGAGGUGAUCUCCAGCAUAAAGGGCACCCUCCCCUGAAAGGCUCUGCAUGCCAACAAAGACCUGGAGAUGGAUUCUUUUUGAUGGUGAGAAGAAACAGGUCUUUUUGUUUUUAGAACAUGCUAAGAUCUGCAGAUUUUCCUCAGAAAAUUGAAACAGAAGACUGGACAGAAGAAUAGACUCUGCGGCGAGGUUCAGCUGGUGUAGGAACUCCAGGACCUUGCUCAGCAGGGGACAUGACCCAUCUCCACUCACACCUCUUUACCAUUUUGCCAGUCAACAGUAUGAUUCUGCAACCUCUGCAGCAUCUGACAUGAUGGAUCUCAAUUGCCUGAAGUCACAGUAUCCUUAGAGUAUGUUAGCCAUUAUCACGCUGUGCUGUGCAUUCAAGUUGCAUGAAGUGUUUACAAAACUGAGGAUCAAAAUGUUCAUCUCUAAAGAAGAAGGGUGGUCAUGAAUGAAGGCACUGCAUGAAGACAAAGGUGAUCCAACUUCCUUUCUGCCACAGGUUUCCUUUGUGACUUCAGUCGAGUCAUUGAGGCUCAGCACUUCCAAAGCAUUUAACAUUCCUUUUGAGACCGGCAGGAGGCUGCUUCACAGUUCAGCUUCAGGCUACAUAGGCUGCAUAUAAACUUCCUACUAUAAGCGUGUCACAACUCUAUCACUUCUAGCUUGACAUCUACACUCCACCAUGAGCUGCUGUGGCUGUCUGUUAUCCAGCACUGUCAGACCUUUGCUCCCUAAUCAGUCAAGACAGAAUUAGUUUCAGUCCCAACUCUGGCACCUUCAGCAGGAGGUCUGAAUGUGAUUUUUUUUACUCAUUUUCUUCCCUUUCGUCUUUCUCAUCUUCAGACACCAUAAUCGUGUUGUAUGCAGACACUUACAAUUGCAGAUGCAGCUCAAAGUGCUACUUCAGCAUACCUAAAAGCCAACUACAUUGGGCAGUCACACUUCACAAAUGUCUUUCAAAGGCUUUGCCAUUUUGACCAGUGUUACUGGAUUACGUGGAAUUGCCUUCAUUGCACAAGACUGGACUGUAAAAUUGAUAAAUUUUGCAAUAUGGAGUAAAGGCAGCAUCUGCAGAAGACAGGAGUUUAAAGUACAUUAACAGUCAGUGAUACUGUUGUUUUAUAAUCUCCUCAUGUAGCUUUUACUAUCCCUCCCCAUCUGUUCUGGCAGAACUUCUCUAUGCUCUGAACAAAUCCCUGAACAGGAUAUUUUUUUCUAGAGCCAUAAACUUACUAUAAUGCAAGCUCUGAUUACAAUAUUUUCACCUGUAUUUAGAUAAUUACUGUUCCAAAACAAAUGACAAGCUGACCGCUUAAAAAAUAAAAAUAAAAAUUAAAAAUAAAAAUAAAAAAAGACAAUCUCAUUUUCUUCUUUUCUACUAUUUAGGGUUGUAGGAACUGUCCUUUAUCUUGGGGCAUUUGGAAAAUAUUAGUCCAGCAAAAGUUACUAACAUUAUUUUAAUGAUGUUUCUAUCCUUGACUAUCUUACUUGCUAUAUCAGAUGCUGAUAGUACUAAAAUGCAACUUGUUGCAGUUCUUAUAAUUGCUAUUAUCUUUUUCUCCUAACAUGACAAAUGGGAAAAAAAAAAUUGUGUAAUAGACAAGUUCAUUUGUAGCUGGAACUUUUAUUGUCCAAAAUUACAAGAAGCUUCUCAGACUUAUGCCAGGCACAGGUCUGGAAGGCGUUAACAUUGUUGAACAUGCUACUAAGCUACUGAGAUAUCUCUACUGAUGGAGGGCUGAGAUGUCCUUAGUUCAUGUACAGAACUGGCCAGGAAUUUUCUGUGGAAGUACCUUUGUUACAUAAAAUUCAGUUCUGGCAAAAGGUACUUUGAUAUAUUUCAGUUACAGAUUAGGACAAUAAAAUUAAAACAAAAUGAAACUAAACUACUCAUUUGUUAAAUUGAACUGAAAUUACAAUGUUGGAUAAUAUUGAGAUUAAUCAAUAUAUGUCUAAUAUUACUGCAAGAUUUAAUAGUUGUUUUCUGAUAAGGACUUUUUACUACUUUCCUUUUCUUUAUAGAUCAGUAUUUCCUUGUAGAAUAGCACAGACAUCCCAAAUUACCAUGAAUUCAGCUUGGUGUUGUCUUAAAUUAGUCUGGACUUGUGCUGUCAAAAGAUCCAACCAGAUAACAUUACUUACUCCUUGUACCAUGAAAGAUGAGAAAUUUCCUCAUCUAGAUAGUUAUACAGUCUUCAUUACUAUAGUAUAAGAUCAUGUCACUAUCUUCCUUCUCAACAUCCAUGAAAGGCAUGAGUUUGCUAGGAUUUCUUCCUUUACAAAGAAGAAUUGCAGCCAUCUUGUACACUUGUUCUCUCUACAGGAGUACGAGCAGGAAUAGGCAGCACAGUGUGCAGCUCGGCCAGCUGCUGAGCUGGUUAUAAAGACACUAAGAAGUAGUGUCUCUCCAAAUCAGAUGCUAGAAAUAAGAGAAAAUUUCUUUUUUUCUUCAUAUAGGCCAAAUUAGCUUGUUGAGGAGAGGGGAGCUUCAAAUUCAAUCUCUGCUUGACUUGAAGCAGGGCUUGAAUUACUCUUCACCCUGGCAGAAUCUUGGCCUAUAUGUAUCAGUGAAAGACCACACACAACUGAUAGGAAGUCUUUGUCUUGUGGCCUCCUGGAUAUUUUCUUCCAUUAUAAUUACAUAGCCUCAGGAAGAGAAAAUAACAGUCUGGCGACUCAAGAAAUCUAGAGCUGUAUCAGGGUCCUACUUUGCCUUUGAAGAGUGAAAAGUAGAUUUCUUAUGAUACAAGUAUCCUGUAAUGAGUGGGUCAUGGGUGACAAUAAAGGCAUCAACUCAGUUGUCAAACUGCUCAAAGUUUUCAGCUUCAGAUCCGUGGGGACAGACAGUGGUAUGUAAGUACAUAAAAUCUCAACACAGGUAAGUUUUCACAGAUCACCACGUUAUUUUGCACAGCACCAGACUUAGGAAUACAGUUUUGGAUUGGGCUUCCCUGAAUAAGAUGCCCAGAAAUGGACAAACAAAAAUAAACAAACAAACAUAAAAACAGGCCAAAAAAGAAAAGGCCAACAACACAACGUAAGUGCUUUCUUGCCCAGCAGAAACUGGCAGGUUUGAAGUCCCUGUGACAGUAAAAUGCUGGAUUUUUUCACCAAACAGCUUAAUGCCAACCUGUUCUAAAGCAGGGUGGUUUCUCACAUUGCUGGUAAACACCUUAAAUGAAAUGGGCUGUAACACUAUACUUCUUUACGGCCUUUCUGGAAACACUCCAGAAUAUCUGACUUUAUCCCAUGAUUAUACGCUUGCUUUUGUACUGUGGUCUAACCACCUUACGUGGCUGAGAUUUAUAGACUGAGAUCAAACAUAGGUGUGCCUGGUAAGGUGUCAGCUCAGAAAGGAGGACACAGAGCCAUCUGUAGUGUGGAGCAACCUGAGCUGUUUUCUGCACGGACAAUACCAAUGCUAUGCCAAAUGUGCGCAUGAGGACAAGAAAAGAGCAGCUUAGGAUUUGGCUCUACUCCUGAUUUCUGACUGCUGAACUCACCCUGACAAAGCAGUUAACAGAAACAGGAUGUCAACAAACAUAUGAUGAAACCUCCAGUUCUCACGAUCUCUUCCUCCUGAGAAAUCUCAUUUAAGAAAACCUGCAAGGCUACUUUGCAAGAAAAAGAGCCUGAAGAAAAUAGUGGGAGCCACAAGAGGAGACAGAUAGUCAAGGAAGUACUUCUUUCUUUUGUCAUCAUACUGUAGUCACCCAGCUUAGCUGUUUGGCUCCUAAAAUCAAAGGACCCCAAAUCCUAGGAUUAUUCCAGCUGUAACAGACCUUAAGAGGUCAGUGAAUCCCAUCAUAUGUGGCCUCCUGUAUAUGUGUGCUGUACUCCAUACAGACAUUCUCUUGACCUAUGCAUGGCAUUCUCUGAGAAAAACAUCCUUGAUAUUAGGUGUCAUGUUAUGUGUAUAUUGCGGUUAUUUGUAUCUCUUCCAUCUGAGGUAUAAUCCUGAGGAUUUUCCUGCUCUGAUGAAGUGAGUACAACCUCAGUAUAUCCUCUACUCCUAAAUUAGAGUUUAAAAAACUGUUGAGUAAUUUGUAAACAAUAUAGUCAUGGGACUCUGUGAGAAGAGAGAGGAAUGGCAAUAAGGAUUCACAUCCGUGUUUUGCAUUUUCCCUAUUGUACACAUGGCAAGAGGAAGAAAGUUAUGCAUAGAUGACUUAGUGGCCUCUGAUGAGAAACUUAAAAAAAAUCCAAACACACGAACACAUAUGGUCUAUGACCAAUACUGUUGGCAUUCAUCUGAACUUAUUCAGUGAAGCUUGUUUGUGGGUCUGCAUAAUUUAUGACUAUAUUUCUGCGUAAUCUGUAUAUAAAUAAAUGAGUACAUCUCAUGGAUAGAGUAAACAUGUACUUCUUACCAUCUGGUAGAAGGCAUUAUGUGCCUAUGUAUGUGUCUGUAUGUUCUGUGAGCACAAGUUGCUAUGUAAAUGUCCUUUAUUACUUACUUCAUUCCCUCUGUUGCUAUAGAACUAAGGGUACUUUAAAGAUUUUUUGAAUUUACAAGUCAUGCCAUUUAAAAGUGAAUAAAAAGCCUGAAAAAAUAAUAUAGGAAAGUAUGCAGCACUGAUGAAAGAGUGACAGGUUGACUGUAUUCCUUAUAUUCAUUGAGAAGUUCCUGUUCCAGACUUCAAGAAAUAUUAAUAUGAUCAACUCCCAGAAGAGUCAAUGAGAGCUGAACUACA